UCACUAAAAAAGCAAGUGGCAAUCUUAGCAUAUCAUAAAAAUUUAAAAGAAGAAAAAUGCAUUUAGGCCUAUAAAAUUUUCUUGUUCCACUAGCAUGAGAAUAUUUCUAUGAAAAUGAUAAUGAGUGGUGAUAAGUGUGUGGAGCAGUGAAGGUGGUCGCCGCAUAUACUUAGAAGAUGCGAUUAUAACAUAAGAGCAUUUUUGGUACUUUUCUCUCUCUUUAUAAACCCAUUGAAUUGCAUGAUAUUCCUCUCUAUCUCGUUCUAGCAACUCCUUCACCAUGAGUUGAACCUUUCUUCUCUUAUUUGCUCUCUCUUACUUAACUAUAUAUCAACCUCAACCAUGCCAAAUUGGAUACUAUGUAGUACCUUUGUUAUUGUUAAUGUUGUUGUGGACAUGGUGUGGUUGAAGGACGUAGCUUAACGAGAUCAUCAUGAUUUGGACAAAAUGGAACUUAAUCGAUUGGUAAGUGUAAGAGAUCGAUCCAAUCGAGUUAAUUAGUUCCAUUUUAUCCCACAGGGCAACUUCAAUCCUUUGGCAUAACUUAUUCCUUUGGUAACUGUUCCGUACACAUUGUAUUCAGAGCUUGAUGCAUGGGUCAAUUUUUAUGUAGUUUCAGUAUGCAAUCUUUGGGUGAGAAUAAAUUAAAUGUAUCAUGUUGCGAAUAAAUUAAAGUUGUAAGCUAUCAUCUGGAUUUAAUAUGUAAUUUUAUCAUAUACAUGUUUAUUAUUGCUGCGUUAAAUGUAAUUGUGGCACCUACUGUAUAUGGAAUCAUUAUGGUAUCUAGAAAAUUGAUUCCAUGCGCUAUAUAUUAUCACGAAUAUAUGUUUGCUCCUAUGUCUGUCCAGUACUAACAUUUUGCUAAUAGAUUAUACAUUGC